GCAUAUGUAGCUCAAUGGUAGAGCAACCGCCUGUCGAGCGGUAGGUCGAGGGUUCGAUCCCCUUCAUGUGCGC
rnacentral:tRNA from 1 species